rnacentral:lncRNA from 1 species
AGCUGGGCAUCAUAUGCUGUAGCUAUGCCCCCGUGAUGCUUUUUGAUUGGCGUCACAUUCUACUGGCUCAAAGAGAGAUUUUUUACAUCCACUUAUAGGUAAAAUAAAUUAUAUUAUGAAUAUUUAAUUUAUAUAAUAUUCUUCUAAUAUUUAUUAUUGACAGGGUGUAUUCGACAUCAUUGAUUUUGAGGAGGAUCGCAUGCGGCGAGCCGUGGACACUCAUUUAUCAUUAUGUUUCAAGGAUCAUCGCUAUCACAUGCAUCAGCAUUGGUACCAUAUGGUGCAGGAUCAUGGGG